AUUGAACGCUGGCGGCAUGCUUUACACAUGCAAGUCGAACGGUAACAGGCCGCAAGGUGCUGACGAGUGGCGAACGGGUGAGUAAUGCAUCGGAACGUGCCCAGUCGUGGGGGAUAACGCAGCGAAAGCUGCGCUAAUACCGCAUACGAUCUAUGGAUGAAAGCGGGGGACCGUAAGGCCUCGCGCGAUUGGAGCGGCCGAUGUCAGAUUAGGUAGUUGGUGGGGUAAAGGCUCACCAAGCCAACGAUCUGUAGCUGGUCUGAGAGGACGACCAGCCACACUGGGACUGAGACACGGCCGAGACUCCUACGGGAGGCAGCAGUGGGGAAUUUUGGACAAUGGGCGCAAGCCUGAUCCAGCAAUGCCGCGUGCAGGAAGAAGGCCUUCGGGUUGUAAACUGCUUUUGUACGGAACGAAACGGUCCUGGUUAAUACCUGGGGCUAAUGACGGUACCGUAAGAAUAAGCACCGGCUAACUACGUGCCAGCCGCCGCCGUAAAAC
rnacentral:rRNA from 1 species